rnacentral:lncRNA from 1 species
UGUAAAACCAGCAGUUGGAGCAAAACACCAGGAAGCUGGGAAUUCCUGGCCCAGAGAUGGAGAGGUACCUGUAUGGAAGUUCUACAGGUAGCAGGUGACACAGUUCUUGGUGGAGACCCAGGGUAAAGGGUUGAGGUUCUCUCUGGGGGUGCUGCUUCCUGAGCUCUUGCAGAAUAAUUGGUGUAUCUCCAGGUCUCCUCAGACUUGACUUUGUGUCUGAGCAGGUGCCCUUGAGGCCUCUGCUUCACCUGUCCUGACCAUAGCACUGCUCAAGUCUGCAGGUAAAUCACAUCUUUCUCUACUCCCUCCCAGAACUUCUGGAUUCUGAUUUUCCAAUGGCCCUUGUUUAUAAGUGCUUUAUGGUAAAGUGUAUUUGAGAUGGUCUAGUCUAUCUCACAAGUCAAUGUGAAGAAGGAAAAAAGGCUGGUCUUAAAUACAGCAGGAAACAAACAAACAAACAAAAAAAGAAAUAAAAAAAAUAAAGAUGGAGUAUGGACCAAAAAAGAAAUAGUAAUUAUUUCUCAGAGGGAGAGUUUAGCGUCAAAGCUGCCAUUAGAAUCAAUUACUAUUGGGUUUCAGCAUUACAUUCCAACUUAGAUUUCAUUGAAAUGCUUAUUUUGUGUGUGAGUGUAUGUGUGUGUAUUAAGAAGAAAAAUUUUAUAUGUGCAUUUUUUAUUAAACUAGCUUAUUUGUAGUUCAACCUAAGAAUCCACUAGGUACUUUUCCUGUGAUUGACUCAUGUCAGUGUGUAUUUAACGCAGCAUGGAAAAGCAGUAUUAAGCUGUUAGGUAAUGUCGCUCCGUAUCAGUUUCAGGUAUGAUCAUGUGAAUAGUGAGAAGUAUAAUAGCUGUGCUUAUAUCUUGGCAGCAGAUGGCUUUUCACUCCUGCCUCAUUUCUCUGAGGCUCUGCAAAGGCCAACCACAUAAAAUGACUUCUGCAUCUCCAUUCAAACCUCCCGACGUAGUGCCAUUUUUUGUUGGACCUUGUACACCUGCUUUCACUAGGCUCGGGUCUCAUAAAACUGUCAAUGGAACCCUUUCACCAGAAUACAUUAGCAUUGCUUAAAGGGUUGUGCAUCACUUUUUUUGACUGCUGUAAGUCGUUUUAAGCAGAACUUAAAAGGGUUAAUUGAUUGGCCCUCCUUUAAGGGGAUACUAAUACAGAUUGACAUCAGCAAUUUUAGUGACACAUUGAACAUGUGCAUAAUCCUCUUCUUGAUGAGCGUGUGUAUGUGCUCACAAGAGUCAAAUAUCUAUGGAGACAUUAAGAACAGAGAAAGGGGAACACUCAACUUAUUGGAGAGAAUGGAGAGAAGAGAAGCAGGGAUAAGUUGGAAGAGGGAAAAAAAAAAAGAAAAGAAAAGAAACCUUCAAUUCACAUGGCAUUAUUAAGGAGCAGACAAACAGAAUCUUCCGGGACUCAACAUUUCUGAGAUAAUCAUGUAAAAGAUGAAACCCUGAAGCCUGUUACUAGAAACUGGGUGUGUUUUAGGUGUAAGAGGAAAAGGAAGAUUGCUUAACACUGUAGAACUUGAGAUGGGUUAUUAAGAGGGAGAGGAAGGCUGCUGUGGGGGCAGGCACGGA